GGACUAGUGCUCCAACACAGUACUAAUAAAGAGUUAAGAAGAUGAGCGGAAGAAAGAGAAUAGGAGAGGGAGCUUGGAAAACUGACCCGGAGCUGCUGCUCCGGGACUCUUCGAGUUCAGGAUUAGGGCCAAAUUAUGGUAUUUUAUCUUUGUAACCACGGGAAACACAUAGCAGAGAAGCACUCCAGUUACAACGUCUACAACAGCAACUGUAAGCACUUUGUACAGGAUUUGUACGAACUUAUGACUGAUAAGGAGAUACGAAUAACAAGCUGGCUAGAGGCUUAAUCAGAGAGAGCGGUGGAUAUAUCAGGACUGAGAUAGCUAUUGUGUGCGUUUUUGUUGUAACUUGUAAGAUAUUAAAAUUGUUGUAAAAUUUACAGAUAAAAUAUUUUGUUAUAGCACAAUUAUAUAA